rnacentral:rRNA from 1 species
AUUGAACGCUGGCGGCAUGCUUUACACAUGCAAGUCGGACGGCAGCACAGAGAAGCUUGCUUCUUGGGUGGCGAGUGGCGAACGGGUGAGUAACAUAUCGGAACGUACCGAGUAAUGGGGGAUAACUAAUCGAAAGAUUAGCUAAUACCGCAUAUUCUCUGAGGAGGAAAGCAGGGGACCUUCGGGCCUUGCGUUAUUUGAGCGGCCGAUAUCUGAUUAGCUAGUUGGUGGGGUAAAGGCCUACCAAGGCGACGAUCAGUAGCGGGUUGAGAGGAUGAUCCGCCACACUGGGACUGAGACACGGCCCAGACUCCUACGGGAGGCAGCAGUGGUGAAUUUUGGACAAUGGGCGCAAGCCUGAUCCAGCCAUGCCGCGUGUCUGAAGAAGGCCUUCGGGUUGUAAAGGACUUUUGUCAGGGAAGAAAAGGACAGGGUUAAUACCCCUGUCUGAUGACGGACCUGAAGAAAAGCCCGCA